GACGAACGCUGGCGGCGUGCUUAACACAUGCAAGUCGAACGGAAAGGCCCUGCUUUUGUGGGGUGCUCGAGUGGCGAACGGGUGAGUAACACGUGAGUAACCUGCCCUUGACUUUGGGAUAACUUCAGGAAACUGGGGCUAAUACCGGAUAGGAGCUCCUGCUGCAUGGUGGGGGUUGGAAAGUUUCGGCGGUUGGGGAUGGACUCGCGGCUUAUCAGCUUGUUGGUGGGGUAGUGGCUUACCAAGGCUUUGACGGGUAGCCGGCCUGAGAGGGUGACCGGCCACAUUGGGUCUGAGAUACGGCCCAGACUCCUACGGGAGGCAGCAGUGGGGAAUAUUGCACAAUGGGCGGAAGCCUGAUGCAGCAACGCCGCGUGCGGGAUGACGGCCUUCGGGUUGUAAACCGCUUUCGCCUGUGACGAAGCGUGAGUGACUGUAAUGGGUAAAGAAGCACCGGCUAACUACGUG
rnacentral:rRNA from 1 species